rnacentral:lncRNA from 1 species
GCCAACUGUGAGAUUUCUUUGUUGCAAUAUUGGGGUCUGAGAUAACACUGCUGGAGGCUGGAGGCAAGAAACAUAGCCGAAACCAUCUUUUAGUGUGUGCUGUUAUUUACUAGCGCUGUGAACCAAGGAAGCGAAAAAACAAAGAGCCCGAAGACUGCACAGUUCCAGCUUGUAGGCCCUGGAGACAGUCUGGAGUCCUCAGACGGACAGAAAGAAGACAUCAGAAGGGCAACCUGUGGUGCCUGUGGCUGCUGAGUACAGGAUAUGAAUCAGAGAGAAAGAAGUAAAAUCUUGUCCUAGGAAGAAAGGGAGCGAUUGGCAGAAGACUUGUCUCUGGCGUGGGUGACUGAUUUUUAAGAAAUCGGCAACACGGAAGCUGAUUAUAAAAUAUUCAUAAGAAGCUGGCUUUUACAGACCCAUAACUGGUGUUACACCCCCACUCCCUGCCACCACAAAUACUGAGUCCAUUCCAGGAAUAGAAACCGCCGAAGGAUUACAUUCUCCACGGAGAACGAUCUCUAUGAAGGUAGCUAACCGAGCCAGCUUUUCCCCUUUUAUAAGCAACAGUUCCUGUGUCUUGCUGCUCCUAAAACUGAUGAGUGCUGUGUAUGACCAAUGAAUAAUUGAAUCUAACUACUGAUUAAAUUAUUUCUCCAGGUGUGCAAUGUCUGUGAAAUACGGUGCCAACAAAAGAAUUCCAAACUGUGGCAGUCUUUUCAUGAGAUAAUCACAUAUAAAAUCAGGAUUGUUUCUUUUACAAAUGGGAGUCUACGACGAAUCCAUUGUUCUUCAAAGGCAGGAAAGGGCUCUUACUUAUUAUUGGGCUAGUCCUCAUUACGGCCACCUGAAUGAAUCCAAAGUACUUCCAAAAAUAAAUGGUUUCAUGACUUUUGUAUGUUUAAACACCUAGGCUUUUGUUUAUUUUUUCAAGUCUGAUAUUUUCCACCUCAUUAUUCACCUCUUAAAACGUCUGUAUCCGGCUGGGCCAUUUUAAACAAGUUUGCUGAUGGCUUGCUUUGCCCUCCUGGAAUUGUUUGGUUUCCUUGUUAAGGUGAAGAAUGUUGUAAAAGGGGCAGUCUCCUAAGUUGUGACCUCAAAGGGUGGUGUCUGAAUCUCUCCUCUUUUGUGUCUGAUCAGGAAGAAGAUGGACAAUGUCUAUACGCCAUCUUCAGUUGGUAACGCUGUGGCAGUUAGCAUAACCAGUGCUAGGCAAGAUUCAACCGCACUGGCUGCGGUAUGCGUGGCCAACCGGAGUGAGGACAAAUCCCAUUCCGUCUGAAGACUGUCUCCUGCCAGAGAUCAAAUGCAGCUCGCACAUACAUGACACCAAGCAGAAGCAAGUACUAUUCCAUUACAAAUGAAGCAGAGAGAGCCAGAAUUAUUUGGUCAGCUUGGUAUUCAAAAUGGUUGAGAUUCUGACCUUCCCACUCCUUCCUUAAUUAUCUUGAUAAUUUUGGCAAGAGGAGGUUUGUGGGGUGGAGAGGGAUAAUUCUGAAAGAAUUAAAUAAUUAUAGCAGUCAGGAAAUCCAUCCAGGGUUUUAUAAAUUCCUGCAUAAUAGUUCAAAAUCUCUUGAUUUUUCAUCGUGUAUAAGCUAAAUUCAUUAGCACAUACCUUAGAUCAUCUGUUAGAUGCCUAGCAGUGUAAAAACACAGGGCCUGUGAAGUGUUUUUUUUGGUUUUGUUUUGUUUUUAAUCUUGACUUUUACAGAAUAAAAACUACCACCACCAACAACAACAAGAGAACAGACAUGUUGCAUUUAAAAUUGUACCUAUUUCUUUCUGGCUCUCAGCUUUUCUUUUAAUGCCGCAGUAAUACCACUGUUCAUUUCCUGUUCAACUUCAAACCUACCUUUUGAUUCUUCCAAUGUCCCUUAGGCUAAUGUUUUCACAAAGAAUGAAAUGAACAGACAGAAACAAUUAAGUGAGCAGAUACAGUGAAAAGGAACACCGGCUGCCGCUUUCACACGACUGGAAGUGUAGGAAUGAAUUCUGCUUGGAAUCUGAUCCUCCAGCCACAGGGCUUUUGCUGCUCACAUCAUUUUUCUUCUGCAAACCCCCCUCAGCCCCCAGUGUACUGCACGCCACUUUUCCUUUAUGGAAGGAAAAGAUCGAGGCACACAAAGAAAGGCCCAAAUACUCACAGGCACGGGAAAUAUUUUCUCUGCCUGUUACUAGGACCGGAUAAGCUCCAAGAAAGAAAAUCCACCUAGAUAUUUUAAACUGGGGAAUGUCUCCCCAAAGCCUGGUAAAUGUUCACAUGUGUCUUCAUGAAAUUUGUAAUAUGGAUUGUUUACACAGCCCUGAUUGAGGGCAUGAGCACCAUUAAAAAGGAUCAAGUCGGUUUAGGGAUGGAAAAUUGUAGAAACCAGAGCUGUUAUCCACAAGGAGAAGUGUAGGUUUUGGUUUCUUUGAAACAAUAAUACGCAGGACUUGAUAUUAAAAGGUAUUUCAACAGCCAAGAGUAAGCUGUUGGUGACCCUUCGAAGUUCUAUAAGGAAUCAACAAGGUGGUAAGUCACUCUCCUCAAACAGGUCUGAAGGCAAGUGUUGAUGACAUGGCUGGGGCUCUAUGACAUCUCCUUCUCUCUCUUUCCAGUAGCACACUAAGAGAUUUUCCAUGGCGGGAGCUCGGCACUCCUGGAGUGGGGUUUACUUUGUUCAGGCGUUGUGUUGGUAUUUGAGGAGACUGGCUACAACUCCACAAGGCGGUUGCUGAGGAUGGAGCCUCUGUGUAUCUCAGAAGACUGCAGUUCUUACUGCUAGGAGACUGCAUGGCUAGUUCCCUCUGAGUUAAGCUUCUAUUUUUGAAGCCCAGAUGCAAUAAGGAGGUGCCUAUGAUAGACACAGAAUACAAACCCCACACAGCUUAAAGCUGGCAGAUGUCUUCUGCAAAACGAUGCCACACCUUGACCCUGAAUGAGGAAGAAGGCAGGGAUCCAUAGGAUUAUCCGGAGUGGAAAACAUGGCUUCCACUUCUAAUUUGUUUUUUAAAAACGGAAUCAUACCUAUGAAUUUCUUAAUAAAAUAUCUUUCUUGUAAAAAAAAAAAAAAAAA